UACGUAGGAGACGAGCGUUGUCCGGAAUCACUGGGCGUAAAGCGCGUGUAGGCGGAUGGGCAAGUCUGCUGUGAAAGCUCCUGGCUUAACCGGGAGUGGUCGGUGGAAACUGCCAAUCUGGAGGACGGUAGAGGUAGGUAGAAUUCCCGGUGUAGUGGUGAAAUGCGUAGAGAUCGGGAGGAAUACCUGUGGCGAAGGCGGCCUACUGGGCUGUUGCUGACGCUGAGGCGCGACAGCGUGGGGAGCAAACAGG
rnacentral:rRNA from 1 species